UCUUGGUUAAAGUCUGAUACCCACUCUCUCUCGUCACAUUAUUUUUGCUGUGUGCAUGAUCAGAGUAUUCGUAACCUUAGAAGGAUGUUUAGAACUGCAUAUGAACUGUGGAUAUUUUUCAUCUUUUACAUAGGGAAGGCGCAAUGUGUGCAUGUUCAACAAAAGGGCAUCAGAGAUGUCUGGGCUUACUUGUGCGCUGGGAAUUAUUAUCGUUGUGUUUUUAAGGACUGCAAAUUGUGUGAAUUUUGAACAGACUCCACUCUUGAUUGCCGACCAAAAUGGCGAAGCACAGAUCAACUGCAAACAUGACGACAGUAGCUUACUUGUCAUGUUAUGGUAUCGACAACAGAAAACUGGCAUGUCUCUAGAUCUGAUUGGCUAUGGUUACUCAGAAUCUCCACCAAACAAUGAGCCUGAAUUUCCAGAUCGGUUCCAACAAACUAGAAACAACGCAGUUAUGGGAUCUCUAACCAUCUCAAAACUCGUUCUCUCAGACUCUGCUAUUUAUUUCUGUGCUGCCAGUACACAGUGCUGCAAAAUCAUUUUUUACUAACAGAAAAACCCUCUACCUCUAUCUAAAAUAUAUUUCUCCAGUUUGUUACGGUAAAAUUUUGAGUGGUUAACCACUAUCAGGUGUGUUACAAACCAUGACUAACUGCCAGUAUUAAAUUCCUUUCCAGUGUGGAGGUGCUUAAAGAAGAAGAAUGAGAAUAUAAUGCAAGCAAAAUCUAAACUGUUUUUUUUUUUUUUUUUUUUUUUUUUAAAGUUAUUUUUCUAGGUGUUUUAAGUGAGAUUGAAACGACUGAGGCAGAGAAACAAGAAAGCUCUGGGAGGAGAGAGGGAAGUGGGAUUAGCAAAGGAUCUCAAGAUGGGAAUCAAACACAGGUCACUGCAAGCACAGUUACGCGCUAAGCAUGAGGCUAUUGGUGCUGACCGAAAUGUGAACUGUUAAUAUUAACUAUGGCACAUUAAAGUUGUUAACAAAAAGCAAAGAGAAUUCACUAAGAGUCUGAUUUACUGAACAAAUUAUGCAAGUCGUGUAACAGCGUAAACAAGCACUUAAAACAUGCUGAAGACAAUUUGCAAGGUGCAAUGAUCACACAAUUUCUUCAAUAAAAUUUGAAAGGUUUGAAACUGUUUGUGUGUUAUUAAUUAAAUGAGAUUGUGUUUGUCUAUAACUGACUUACAGUAGAUCAAUAUCAGAUGACAUUUAAUGAAUACAACAGUGUAGAUAUAUUUUUAAAACUUUUCAGUGUUUGUCAAUUAUGUCUGAAUCCUGUUGAUGCAUUUAAUCCACAUACACACCUACAAAAGUGCAACAACAACAAUAGACAUAUAUCCUAAAAGUACAUAAUUACA